rnacentral:rRNA from 1 species
AACGGCCGCGGUACCCUAACCGUGCAAAGGUAGCGCAAUCACUUGCCCCUUAAUUAGAGGCUAGUAUGAACGGCUUGAUGAGGGCCUAACUGUCUCCUAAGGCCAAUCAAUGAACUUGAUAACUCAGUACAAACGCUGAAAUAAACCUACAAGACGAGAAGACCCUGUGGAACUUUAAGUCAUUCGCAAACCAAGGCCACCCGCCCACCUUUGCGAACACUUUCAGUUGGGGCAACUACGGAGCAAAAAAAAACCUCCACGAACCGCAGCUAACACCUGCCACCCAAGGCUAACAUGCCGGCCACCCAACACCAGACCCAGUAAAACUGAGCUACGAACCAAGCUACCCCAGGGAUAACAGCGCUAUCCCCUUUAAGAGCCCGUAUCGCUAAGGGGGCUUACGACCUCGAUGUUGGAUCAGGACACCCAGGCGGUGCAACCGCUGCCAAAGGCUCGUUUGUUCAACGAAUAAUGUCCU